CUUUGACAUAACUUGAUAAAUAAUCAUUGAGCUGUCAGCUGAUAAUCGAUUUAGCAGUAAUUGAUCGGCGUGGAACGGUAGCAGUAAUUGCCGAAUCGGUUCAACGUUGAAUCUGAUCGACGAUCUGAAAUUUAGAAGCAAAGAGAAGAUCGCGAUAUUUGUAUUUUUUUUAUUGGAAUGGUAGUUUUGGCCAACGAUAUAUAUUACAAAUAAUAUAGGACGCGAGAUUUAUUUAUUCAGGACAGUAUAAAUACGCGUUCUUGCUAUCUCCUAGCACAAGAUACAGUCUACAUAUAUUAUUACUUUUAUACGCUGGAUACGUGCCUAAAGGAGCCUCCUGAUCUUCGAUUUCUGCCGUAAUUUCACCCUCUACAUUCACCAAUUUCUACUGUUGUUCUACGGUAUAGUCAUCUAUAGCGACCAACUGAAUCUGUAUUUAAUAUCCCCUCUCGUUAAGAGCGUUAGAAGAAAAUAAGAUAACUACAGUAUCUAUAACGUUAAGUUCGAAACGAUACGAGAAGGAAGAAGAAAAGGAAAAUUGAAGAUAAAAGUGGAACAAGGGAAGCAGGAAUCGUUUAUACACAAUGAAUUGUAUACCGUUGUCUCGUUAAAAAGGCUCGUCGUUGACCUGAAAACGCGGUGGAAUUUUUUUUCAAAACGUACAGUUUUCUAGUAAAAUGGUAUGCGUUUCUCUCACGGUUGCGAGAUUCAUCCUGAGUUCAACGUUGUUCCCUUCGCAUUGACCCAAUUCCUUUCGCAUAACGCGAGGCCUGGAUAUGGGUAUUAUUAUCCCAGCCACGGUAUUAUUCUACCAUGAAUUCGUUCGAUCUACCGACGAACUCGCGUUACCUUUUCAGUCCUAUAGUCAGAUAGUUUCCACUUUUUUUUUUUUUUUAUUUUUUAAAAUCGAUAGAGGUACGUUUCCUCUAGACCUACGGUGCGCUUUGUCUACAGCUAAUUUGUUUGAUCACGUUAUCGACAUGCUUUGGUUUGACAAUAUUUAUAGAAUAGAAUCUUCUUUCGAGUUAAUUUUCACAAAUAUUUUAAAACUGAUAAUUUCCUGAAACGUAGAUUUGUGAUGUAGAUUCUUUCAAAAUUGAUGACUUUGGUAAUGUAAUUUUGUAAUGUGGAUAUUUGAAAAAUUUAUAGUUUUGGAAAUGUAAUUUGAAAUAUAGAAAAUUUAGUUUGAAAUUAGCAAGUAAUAUUUUAUUUGAAGGUGUAUUAAUAUAUUAAAUUACGUGAACUUUUCAGAACUUUUAAGAGGAGAUACAUGUUUCACGAGAGCAUAGUAUGUUAUCAAGAAGGUUUAUAAUUUUCGUGCUCAAGAUUUAAGUCAGUUGCGCAGAGAAUCGACUGGAAAUAUGAUAGAAUUGUUGCAUCAGCAUCAUGUAACCAGGAAUCAUCACUUUUUUUAAGACACGCAAGCGUACUGUUCUGGAUUAGUUUCAACCGGUUUCUCAUGUUGAUCGUUUCUUUGACUAGAUCUGGGUAAGUCCAGGAUCCUAGUUUGGCUCGGAUGCGCAGAUAAAUCCAGGUUAACCGCGAGAUUUUGCAUUCCCUGGCUUCGGACACGUUGGACUCAGUCGCAGAAUCAGGUCGACCAUGCCAGGAAUCCGAUUUUGCCGCAGUUUCCUUCGACACGUUUGCAGUCCUUUUAGUCACCUUGAUCUUUCAAUCGAUCUCCUAUCAAUUAUUGAUUUUCUAAGUUCUCUAAGUUUAAAUUUAUUCGCAGAAGAAAAAGAAGAAGGUUGAUAUGGAUUAAAAAGUAAAAUACAUACGCAUAUAGAUAUCAAAAAAUCAUAAGAAAAAGAAUGCUUGUUUCAUUAACAUUUCCACAUUUUCAUUAAUAAUUAUCAAAAGCAGUCUAUUAAAUACUUAAAAAAAAAAAAAAAAAAAAAAAAA